CCGCGGGGGGCGCCGGGGGGG
rnacentral:miRNA from 1 species